rnacentral:lncRNA from 1 species
GAUUGAUAGGUGCUAGGUAGCCAGAGAACAGUGUGAAGAGCAUAAAAAGAAUGGGCAAGGCACAGCAGUAAAGAGACAGAGUGCUCUAAAUCCAAGAACUGUGCAUUAUUCUGCAUAGGUGAAGAGUAGAGUGGAUGUGGGAAGUCAUAAGGGCUGAGACUAGAGAUGUAGGCAGGGACAAGAUGAUGCAAAGUCUCAUACAACAUUCUGAGGAAGACGUUUACCCUGAAAGAUUCUUUGUUAAAAAAUGAACUGCACAGCAAAAGCAUGUGAGGAUAAGGAUUUCUGAAUGCUGUCAUGCACACCCUGGUGUUCCCAGCACCGAGCCAUUAAUGCAUCACUGCUGUCCUGUGCUGGAUGAGGGAGGAGAGAGAGUUAAGAGAAGCAGCUGGCUAAGGAGAGCCCCAGGGAUGAGCUCCCAGAGACACUUACCUGGAAAGAAGAAAGCAAUAGCCUUCAUCAUGUCUAGUCCCCUCUUGGCUCCCUGCACUGAAAUCCCAGGGAUCAGCUUGUUGCUGGACAUGCCACUAACUUCUGUGUCAAUGUACACAAACCCAGCACAGUUUGCCAGGAAAGCCGCUGUCUCAAGAAUAUCAAGGAGCGGAGUCUUUCCAGACCACAACUCCUCGCUCCAGGCGUUCGAAUCUGCCUCAAACAAAAGAGGAGACAACGGCGAAGGACGCCCCCCUGCCAUCCUCCUAUCUCACCAUGGCUCCCGCCUCGCUGCAAGCAGCCCCUCAAGGCCAAACGCAGGCUGGUGGGAAAACACCGACCUGCACAAGCUACAUGCGCCCUCUCCCCUACCCAAAACCCCGAAUAAAAAUCCCUACCCAUCCCUCAUCGGGGAGCUAGAAAUUUUUGAGGCAUGAGCCCCAGCUUUGCUCCCUAUGCCUGGCAUAGUAAAAACCUUUCCUCUUCCA